CCUACGGGUGGCAGCAGUGGGGAAUUUUGGACAAUGGGCGCAAGCCUGAUCCAGCUAUUCCGCGUGUGGGAAGACGGCCUUCGGGUUGUAAACCACUUUUGUAGAGAACGAAAAGUCUAUUGAUAAUACCGAUAGACGCUGACGUUACUCUAAGAAUACGCACCCGCUAACUACUUGCUAGCAGCCGCGGUACUACGUAGGUUGCGAGCGUUAACCGGAAUUACUGGGCGCAAAGGGUGUGCAGGCGGUUUUGCAAGACGGAUGUGAAAGCCCCGGGCUUAACCUGGGAAAGCCAUACAUGACUGGAAGACUAGAGUGCGUGAGAGGGAGGUGGAAUUCCAAGUGUAGCAGGGAAAUGCGUAGAUAUUUGGAGGAACACCGGUGGCGAAGGCAGCCCCCUGGGAGGCAACUGACGCUCAUACACGAAAGCGUGGGGAGCAAACAGGAUUAGAUACCCGAGUAGUC
rnacentral:rRNA from 1 species